CACUAACUCACCGUCAUGUUUCUCCAUGAUUUUGUAUUCCUAAUAUCCAAUAUAUUGCUUGCUGGACCCAAUAUGUUAAGAUUGUUAUCAGAAAUAUUUAGAUGAACGAUUUGUUGGAGUAUUCUGGCUAUAAUAGUAAUAUUUUGUGGGUCUAUUCCUUUUUCUCUUUGUUCUUUGUCCAUCUUAUCAAGGUUUGUUACGUUUAACAGAUCGUCGAUAACUUUUGUAGCGACCUUUUUUCGGACUUCAUCUGAUAAAUUUUCACGAUAGAGAUCAUCGACCU